GUCUAUAGCCACAUCACACCAAACGUGCCCUACCUCAUCUGAUCUUGGAAGCUAAGCAGGCAUGGGGCUGGUGAGGAUGUGUGUGGGAGACUGUUGAUG
ensembl:rRNA 5S_rRNA 5S ribosomal RNA